rnacentral:rRNA from 1 species
AACGAACGCUGGCGGCAUGCCUAACACAUGCAAGUCGAACGAGACCUUCGGGUCUAGUGGCGCACGGGUGCGUAACGCGUGGGAACCUGCCCUUAGGUUCGGAAUAACUCCCCGAAAGGGGUGCUAAUACCGGAUAAUGUCUUCGGACCAAAGAUUUAUCGCCUUUGGAUGGGCCCGCGUUGGAUUAGCUAGUUGGUAGGGUAAAAGCCUACCAAGGCGACGAUCCAUAGCUGGUCUGAGAGGAUGAUCAGCCACACUGGGACUGAGACACGGCCCAGACUCCUACGGGAGGCAGCAAUGGGGAAUAUUGGACAAUGGGCGAAAGCCUGAUCCAGCAAGGCCGCGUAAGUGAUGAAGGCCUUAGGGUUGUAAAGCUCUUUUACCCGGGAUGAUAAUGACAGUACCGGGAGAAUAAGCUCCGGCUAACUCCGUG